GUGCUUGCUUCAGCAGUACAUACACAAAAUUGGAACGAUACAGAGAAGAUUAACGUGGCCCCUGUGCAAGGAUUACACGCAAAUUCACAAAGUGUUCUAUAUUUUU